rnacentral:rRNA from 1 species
UACGGAGGGUGCAAGCGUUAUCCGGAUUCACUGGGUUUAAAGGGUGCGUAGGUGGGCAGGUAAGUCAGUGGUGAAAUCUUUGGGCUUAACCCGAAAACUGCCAUUGAUACUAUUUGUCUUGAAUAUUGUGGAGGUCAGCGGAAUAUGUCAUGUAGCGGUGAAAUGCUUAGAUAUGACAUAGAACACCAAUUGCGAAGGCAGCUGGCUACACAUAUAUUGACACUGAUGCGCGAAAGCGUGGGGAUCAAACAGG